rnacentral:rRNA from 1 species
CCUACGGGCGGCAGCAGUGAGGAAUAUUGGUCAAUGGGCGCGAGCCUGAACCAGCCAAGUAGCGUGAAGGAUGAAUGCCCUACGGGUUGUAAACUUCUUUUAUAAAGGAAUAAAGUGAGGCACGGGUGCCUUUUUGUAUGUACUUUAAGAAUAAGGAUCGGCUAACUCCGUGCCAGCAGCCGCGGUAAUACGGAGGAUUCGAGCGUUAUCCGGAUUUAUUGGGUUUAAAGGGAGCGUAGAUGGGGUGUUAAGGCAGUUGUGAAAGUUUGCGGCUCAACCGUAAAAUUGCAAUUGAUAAUGGCAGCCUUGAGUACAGUUGAGGUAGGCGGAAUUCGUGGUGUAGCGGUGAAAUGCUUAGAUAUCACGAAGAACUCCGAUUGCGAAGGCAGCUUACUAAACUGCCACUGACAUUGAUGCUCGAAAGUGUGGGUAUCAAACAGGAUUAGAUACCCCAGUAGUC